CUUAUUGUGGAACACACUGUAUGCAAGAAAAAUGGUAGUUCAUGCAUUCAGCUGUUAUUUCAUGCCUACCUACAUUUUAAGAGAAAAGAUGGUGAUGCAGUGUUGGGUGUGAAAAAGGAAGUUAAGACCAUGCAGAGAUUACACAGCUACAUCAGGAAAUAUGCCAUUUUCCCAACGCAAAAAAGUGAGCAUACAGGCAUUCAAGCAGUCUGUGGUGAAAAAACUUAGAGACAGCUGCAGGAGAAGUUACUGUAAGCAAUAUUUGCCUAAGCUUCUCAACCAGCCCUCAUAAGUACAUAACUUGAGUUAGAAUGCCAUCUAGUACUAUGCACUGACUAGCCUCAAUUAGCCAUCACUGCAGAAAACAGGGAAGUGUAUUUUGUUCUGUACACAAGCAGAACUAAAAUUUUUCAGUAUGCUUAAGUGUAUCUGUGCACCUAUUUCUUUUCCUAUACUGCAUCUAACAAAUAAAAAUUAUUGGAUAAUGGGAGUUAUACACAAGCAGGAAGAACCAAAAUACUAUGCACAUCUAAAAUCAGAAUGUGGUCCUAUUUUUUGUAUAUACGGGGGGAAAACAAUAAAAGAUGUUAUAUCCUGAUGAACUAUGAGAGAGAGAGACAUGUUUACAGUGGAACAAAUAUUUCCACAGGUAUCUGAGGCUAUUACAGAAAGUGCACUGUGUGUAUUGUAAACCCAUGUCAGGAAGACACCAACAUUCUCCAAUUCCUUAAUUUGCUUUUUGAAAAUUUACCUUGCUUAUUGGAAAAAGUUACCCAAUAACUAAUCGUUUAAGUUUUACAGCAACUUUUUCUUCCUGUACCCCAAAAAUGUAAGAUGAUAAGCAGUGAUGGUCACUGAAGCAUCUAAGAAAGAUUUACUCCCAAUAUUUCCAUACAAAUCAAGUAAUCCUACCUCACCUAUAUUUGACUGAUCCCUGCUUUAAAGAGAACAGGAUCCAUAAAGCAGCACUACAGAAAAAUACCAAUAUGAAACAUUAACACUGAAAGGCAUAUUAAGAUUGAGGUUUCAAAACUGAAGUAAAUCUUUACCACAAUUUACAGAUUAUCACAUAUUUGCUUUCUGUAAAGUGUCUUGCUAUCUCUAGUCUAAAAGACCUCAUGUUAAUCAUCAGUAGAGGAAGAUAUUAGACUAGGUAUACCAGAAUUUUCAGCCUUUAUAGCACAAUGGAUGUAUAUAACAAGUACUAAAUAGGCAUGCAUCUCACAUAAGUGCAGUCUUCCAUUUUAAGAUGGCAACCUAAAUACAAACAAGCUGGAAACCAUUCUUUCACCUCAAUCAUUACCACACUACAGUAAUUUUUAAAUUCCAUGAAAAAAAAUUUAUUGGAGUAUAGAAAAAUAUGAUUAAGGAAAAUAAGUGACAUUAACAGUUCUGCUGCACAGAUCUUACUCCACAUAUCCCAAGUUGUAUUUGUAAAAAAAUGAAAAAUGAACAGACUCCAGGUCUUAUGUGUUGUCAGCAUUAGAGUACUAGUCUAUAGUAAUCUUAACUUUUCAGAUAUGGCUAGGGAUCUAGAAUACUAGACUGAUAUCCGAGUGAAGAGCCUUAAUCCACAAAGUAUUAGUGGAGCUACAUCUUGCUUCAUCGAUGUCAAAAGGAUUUAUUUCACAGUCUUAAACUAGAGGGGACUAAAUCUAUAAGGCCUAAUCUUUCAGUUAGAUAGACAUUUUUACUGGCUUGUCAGGUACUGACUUGGAUAUACCACUGUUUGAAAAAUUCAGAUAUUUAAUUUUGUUUGAGAUUUUCUGUGCUUUUCUUGGGGUUUCCAGCCAGAUUUACACCUUCAAGUAGUUGUUCCAGCACUCUUGUUUCUACACUAGUAACAGUACUUGCAUGAGCAAGUUUGAACUUGUAAAUUAAUAGUUAAAAAUGUUCCAACUCUUAAACAAAGUGUCAGUGCAAAUUUGCCUGGGCCCUAAAAAUCAACUCUGCCCAGCACUUAAUUACAGAAACAUUUUAAUCAGAUAUAACAACAGUGUCAAAUCUUAUAUCCACAGAACCAGUUUCAAUUGAAAUCAGGAUGUGGCCUACGGGGAAGAAAAAUACUACAGCCAAACUAUACUGUGUACACAUUGAGAUUACAGGAAAACCUCAUUAAUUCGGAACACAGGGGACCAAAAAAUACCGACUUCAUAAUAAACUGGUUCACAUUAUCCAAACUACAGUACUACACUGUAUGUAUUACAUGAAGCCACUGUACAGUACCUGUAUAAUCUCUCUCAGUUUCUUAAAGAAAGAACUGACUGUGGUCUGCUUAACCAUCUUUUUAUAUUGAUCAUGGACAAUUCAGCUCAUUUUUUUCAUGACUUCCUUUAUUCCCUCAUCCAUGGCAGCAGCAUUGUCUUUCAGCACAGAUUUGAGAACUGUGAGCACCGCAUGUACCUCCUUCUGUGACACGCAUUUGCUAGGACGCAUCGCUCUUUAUUUUCUUCCACCUCUUCCUCUGUGGGGGCAUCCUGACUUGCUCUCUUACUACUUCCUUCAUCGUUGACACUUUAUCAUCAACACUGACAGACUCUUGGAAAGCAGUGGAGCAACCCAUUUUUCCUUGAAGCUCAGCCUAGUCAGGAUCAUCUUGCUCAAAUUCAAUUUCUUCAGCAGCCUUAGUGCCAAAGCCACCUUUCUCAAAGCAGUUUAUCCCAUGCAAUGACAACAUUUCUCAUAGCAUCGAGAAUGUUCCAUUUAUGCAUAUCUGUUGAAUUCUUGGAAACCUCUCAGCAGAUAAUGCACCAGUUGUUUCCAGUAUGCCAUCACAGCAUGGUGUAUUAUUUCCUGAUCUAGGGACUACAUGUAGCUUGUGGUGCUUGUUGGGAGAAAGAGCGCGCACACAUGCUUCAAGUCUAAUCCUUCGUAAUUACAGGCCACACAGUUCUCAAUUAGUAGAAGCAUAUUUCGAUUUUGGCAUGCCAUUUUCUGUUCAAGUUGGAGUAGCCACUCAAAACAAUAGUUAUCCGUGUAUUUUUGUUGGCCAGUACAGGCAUGGCAAGCAUUUCAUCCCUUUCAUACGCCAGGGAUUGUCAAACUUUACAGUCGCUAGCGGCUAUAGUUUCUCACAACCAUUGGCAUUGCAACAGAAUAGUACAGUGAGCCCUUCUUUGCUUUUCUUCCCACUGUGACACAUUUCUCCUUUAAGUGUCAGUGACCUAUCAGGCUGCAGGUUAUAAAAAAGUCCCGUCUCAUCAGCAAUGAAUGUGUCCUUCAGCAUGCAUUUGUCCAGAAUUGGCUUCACGCUUGCAGCCACAAUAUCAAUAUAAGAUGCUUCACCAUGUACACAAAGCAAAACGAUAUUCUGACAAUGUUGGAAGCCACGCAUUAGAACACUGAAACUCUAUUCCUAGCUUCAACACAAUUUCAUCUGCUUUUUCUAACUAGCAGCCCAGAUACUGGGAUACUGUUCACCCUUGUAUCACAAAACCACUGAAACAGUUCAGUUUCUGAAUAUAAACAACUUUACACUUCAGAUUCCUUUCUUCAUCCUGGUUUUGUAUCCUUCUGUUGCCAUCUUCUCUACUGAAUCCUGAAUCUUCAAACAAGUUGAAACCCAACAUGCUUUUAAAGCAAUUUCCAUUAUGGAUUUCACUUUCUUAUCUGCUUUAUGUAUCAUUUUCAGCUUCUCUAAAAGUGUUAACUUCUUCUUGGUUGCCAUGAAGCUCACCCCUGCUGGACCUGCAUAUGACUGAAAGCCAGAGGUGUAUAUAAUUCUGGCAACAUAAAAUUACCAACACGUUAUUGAACAGUGGUCAGGACUGUUGCUAUGCAGAAUAAUUCUGCAAUAUUAUCUAUACAGUAGUACUGUACUUUGAAGUAAACAAACACAUUUUCAUGGGUUUAUGGUCCAAAGGACCAGAAAAUGGCUUCAAAUUUCAAAGUAGCCACAUUUCAAAUUAUCCAUAUUAUAAGGAAUACAAAUCCUGUCCUGUUGGCUGGGGAAUUACAGUAACUUUGAGAUAUCCAAUACUUUGAACAAUCCAAUGUCAAAUUAACAAGGUUUUCCUGUACUUCUGUGGCUUCCCCAAUAUGAAAACUGCUCAGACCAUAGACACUGUGCUGGCUCUCUCUCAGAAGCAUGGAGCUAUGGGAUUUCUUCACACUUAAAGUGAGUCCGGUAUCUCAGCACCUUCAACAGCAGUCUCCCUAACACCUUACCCAGACACCAGACUAAUGCCAAUGUAAGGAUAAAAAUCACCCUCCCACACAGAGUAUACCUACUCAAUCCCCAAUAGUAUUAAGUGCAACAAUUACUUUUAAGUAAAAUGAGACAAGGUAAACAUCUGAUACAGACACAGGCUGCUAUCUGUAACAUCAGCCAGUCAUAUGAGCCCUCUUUCCUUAACCCUAUAUAAUAGUGUAGCCUUUCAGCCAACAUUUAACCACAGCUGUGUUUAAAAUACAUUUCAAGAUUUUUUUUUUCUCCCCAGUCAAAAUUGGCAGAUGAGGGGAGAUUGUGCCAGCAGGGAUGUACAUGGGCAUGGGCACCAAGGUGGGAGUUUAGGUAAUGUUUCAAUGGCUGUCCUUGGAAAUAAUUCAAAUAUUUAUUGUUCACUACUUCAUUUUCAGUUGCUGCUCAUGUAUCUGGGUAUUUAUAGAACUUAUCUCCAUGGUCCCUAAUCACCUUCAUAGCUUGUGCUAUACAAAAAAUUUUAAAAAACAACCAAACACCCCACUUUCUUUGCUACUCAACAUCCCUCUGAAACCUGUUUCUACAAACAAUUCUUUCCCCAAAAAAUCAGAAAUACAAUUUCACUCUAAAUGGAUUAACUGAUUCGGGGUCUUACUUCUUGACUGAAUCACAUACUGAGCAUGAAUUAUUUAAUAUACAAAGGAGGGCAGAAAUAAAAAGGAAAUACUAACCUAUAAACUUGCUUCUAAUUCUAAAAUAAAAUCAAACCCUCCAGUCACUAGUUCAGAUUUUAGAUAUUCAUCUUAUGAUGGUUAGUGCAGGGGGGGAAAAAAGGACAUUUCAGUCUGUUUUAAUGAUGUUAAUUAUUAAAUGUUCCUUCACCCUGAAGAAACACAGAAAGCCAUUCUGCGCAAUGCAGUGCCUAAUGUGGUUGCUUGUGUUACCUAAUAGUAGCAGCAAAUCCCUAACACAGCAAAUUAUAAUAGCAUUCGGCACACAUCCAAGCUACCCAGGUGAAAUAUGACACUUAGCAAAGGAUAUAGGCAGAUAAGGUAGGGAUUUUAGAAGCUGAAUACAGAUCUUUACAUCACUGCUGAGGAGGCAGAAGUGGUAAUUGGGUCCCAAUGCACUUCUGUUUUAGGGCAGAAGCAAGGAAGAUGCAAAAUAGUUAUGAUGGUACCAGGACUCCCCCACUGAGAUUCAGGAUGGACUCAGACACAUUAAAUUAGGUAAAAUAUUCCAAACUAAUUUCCCCAAACCACAGGAGGCCCUAUCCUGAACAAACGAAAGCAGAGGAAGAGUCCUCUCUGAAUGUGAAAAUGGCCUGCAACCAUCAAUGGAUCACAGGCCCUUGACAUCAACUGAGCUAUCUUGCUUCAGGCUCCUGCUCAGAAACACUAACAGAUAGAUCUUCGUACCACAUCUCUCACGGUGUUUCAGUCAGAAAUCUCCACCAGGACCCUAAUCCUGGAACAAGCUUCAUGUAAUCCCACCCCUGUGCCUGCAGAAAGCCUCAUGGCCUUCAAUAAAGCUUUGUGCAACAGUC